UUGGGCUUGAGUAUGCAGCCCAGUAGUUUGUCCCCUUCGGAGUGAGCAGGAUGAGCGUCCGUGAGCUGGGCCCUUCCGCCCGCCAGCGCAUGGUGCCAUCAGGUGGAGUCCAGAGGCCACCGGGACUUUGGUACAGCCGGACUUAUGGCGGCGGCAGGGCGGGCGGGCGGCGAACCUAGUGCACCCAGACCCUGCAGCCCGCUGGGGCCGCCCCUCACCUUCGCCGCCAGCAGCUCCCCGCAGAAUGCACCGCAAUCCCCUGCGGUUUGUGAGCCGUAACGAAUGUACCCUCCAGUGGGGAAUAUUGAUAGUCGGGGAGGCUGUGCAUGGAGGGGGCGGAGAGAAAUUGAGAUUGAUAGAGUGCAAACAUGGGAGGAGCAGAGAGAGGGAGAAUCUGAAGCAGGCUCCAGGCUCUGAGCACAGAACCCAACACAAGGCUCCAUGUCAGGAACCGGGCAUUGGUGACCUGAGCCGAAGACGGACACUUAACCAACUGAGCCACCCAGUAGCUCCAGCUCUCCCUGAGGAAUGAAGCUGUGGACUCUGCUUGUGGCAAAGCUCAGUAAGCCCUUAAAAAAUCAGGAAGCAGUCGUCAAUGCUCAAGUUAAAUCUGUAUGGCCAGUAGCAAAGAGCAAACUCCAGACUCGGGUGGCCUAUUACUCAGCUCAACAGUGCCAGCUACCAACAUGGUUUUGGCCAGUAGUCCCUUUAUGGUUAGACAGGAUGCAUCCAAAUUACCGAUAUCAAAAAACACACCUACCACCCCAACCAUCUGAAAUAAAAUGUCUAUCCUCCCAUCUUGACACACCCAUCUCCUUAAUCACCUGGAAGGCGGGGCUUGCAUGUAGAAUUCUUGUCCUUUUCAGAGUUUGCUCUGAAACAUGGGGGCCUGGAGCCGGCUCUCCACAAUCCUCCCUUCUCUCUGUCCUCGGUUCUAUCUUGUAUUCAUGCCUAGGGCUUCCCAGCUAGUACUUCAAGUUCCAGCCAGUUCUUCCCCCGCAAUCACAAUGGCCAUCUCUGGAGCAGAGGCAGUAUAGCCCGCAGUCAGGAGCAGGGUCCCUAAGGAAAGGGCUGUGCCAUCCCAUGAACAGGCUGUUUGGACAGGCAGUUCUGGGUCCUGAGCCUCAGUAGCACCUGGAAGGGAUGGUGUGGGCUCUGAGGAUGCAUGUCCUCUGGGCCCUGCAGACCCCUCACCCCAGGAGGAGGAAAGCCACAACAAGUCCCCAAGAGUGAGGUGGGGGCCCUCUUGUGUAGGCCAAAGCACUUCUAGAACACUGUUCUUAUGGCCCAAGGAUUUGUAUUCCUCCCAAAUCCGUAGGUUGAAGCCCUAACCCCCAACGUGAGGAUAGGUGGAGACAGAACCUUAGGGCAGUAUUUAGGUUUAGAUAGGGACCCUCCCCCCAUGAUGGCAUUAAUGUCUUUACAAGAAGAAAGCGCGAACAGAGCUUUGUCUGUCUACCAUGUGAAGACACAGGAUGGAGGUCUUUACCUGGCACAGUCUGCGGGCACCUUGGUCUCGGACUUCCAGCCUCUAGAACCCUGACAAAUAAAUCCCUGUGUGUUUAA